rnacentral:RNase_P_RNA from 13 species
UCAGUUGCAAUCUAGCAUCUGGGGCACACAUAACGAGUAUCUGAUUACUCUCUUUGCCCCGGGAAGGUCUGAGAAUUGGUCGAAGCUUGUGUGUUUUGUACAACAUGCCAAUUCAUCCGAAAGGGGUUUGGCGUGUAGCUUCAUUUCCUAGCAGGAAACCUGUGUGAUUACAGGGCGAAGGUACCAGAAAUACUGUACUGUUUGGCUUGUUGCGGUCCCCUCGACCGCCGCCUUACGGAUGCAUUGAAAUCUUUCGUGACCAGCCGUUUUAGUGCGAUGUGCUUGCUGCUAUAAGCUACCCUCCUUUGGAGGCAGUGGAAAGCAGAACUCAAUUCAGACUAAUCUGCAACUGA